rnacentral:rRNA from 1 species
AUGGAGAUCACGCUUCCGCUUCUGCGGUUGUUCUGGUCUGGAGACCAGCCGCAUGACCCGUCGCAUCACCAGCACCCGGUACCGUCUCUCGAUAACCCCGUCCUUGUUCUCGACCGCGAUUUGGCCUUUCUCCCUGAAUUUCGUGACGAGGUCCUGGAGAACGCUGUACUUUCAGCAGCAGCUGGAGGAUCUGUGAUCCUUCUAUUUUUGCCUCUCGUUGUCUGGUUUUGUACCAAAUCUAUGGAGAGAACUCUCAGGGUGGUGAGUACAUCUUCCAUGUGGGCUGCAGUUCUCAACAGUAUGGUCUGGGUCUUCUUUACCAUGGUCGUGAUGGAUAAGGAGGACUGCAUGGAGCUUGUGCUCGCAUAUCCGAUCGUCCUAGCUUCCAACUUCAUAUACCUGAUGAUCGUCUAUGGAUUUAUCAACAGCUUUAAAAUGGCAGCACUGAGUAGCCUUGUCACUUUAUCACUGGGUUAUGUUUUCUAUGCGAUACGAUUUCAUCCUGAUAUUCCUGAGAGCUGGGAGAUGCUUGGCUUGCUUGCGCUAUAUCAUGCUCCUGGGAAUGGCAACAAUGGUGGCGACAAUGCCAAUGGCAAUAAUCUGCAAGGAGCUGGUGGCGACAAUGCCAAUGUCAACAAUCCGCAAGGAGCUGGUGGCGACAAUGCCAAUGUCAACAAUCCGCAAGGUGCUGGUGGCAACAAUGCCAAUGUCAACAACCCACAAGGAGCUGAUGAUGAUGAUGAUGCCAAUGGCAACAAUCCUCAAGGUGCUGGUGGCAACAAUGCCAAUGUCAACAAUCCACACGGAGCUGAAGAUGAUGAUGAUGAUGAUAGUGAUGAUGAUGAGGAUGAUGAUGAUAACGAUAAGGAUGAUGGUGAUGACAAUGAUGAUGAUGAUGAUGAGGAUGAUGCCAAUCCACAAGGAGUUCAUGGCAACAAUCUGCAGGAAGAUGAUGAUCUACACGGAGAUGAUGUUGCUGAUGACACUGUGAACAGGGGAGAAGCUGAUGGGGUGAAAGUUGAGAAUGAUACAGAUGAUGACUUCGAAGAUUCUGGAAAUUUUGAUGCUACUGACACAGAUACCUUUUACGACGCUGUUGGAGAUGACCUGAUGAAAGAUAACAUGCCAAAACUUGUUACUCCUGAACACAAAGUUCCUCAAACUGUAUCCUUCACCCCAAGAUCUAAGAAGCCCUCAGAGCGAAGCUCAUCUCACAGGUCCAAUGGAGAAGUAAAGAAGUCAAAUGAUCGAACUAAAAAAGGAAUCAACCUAGCUGACAAAAAACCAAUGAGGAAUGCGCCAGCAAUUGUAGCUCCUGGUGGUAGCUGGUGCCUGCCUCGUACACAGCGCAAGCGUCAGGAUACACUACAGCAUACUUUGAAGAGUUGUCCUGUGCCAAAUCAAGAAAGAAGGCACCUUUUGCCUGGAAUCAUGGCACCAUCAGCAUCCACUGGUCAGAAAGUCAACCUGAAGGGGUACAAGACCCUACCCCAUGCUAUUCAGCUGGUAACGAUGAUGUCGGGGACGUCUUCAGCUUCAACAUUGACGAUUGGGGACCAGAACAAGAAGUUCAAGGUGAGCCGUGCUUUGACGUGGAUGGUGGUUAUCUGCAUACCGGCUACUUUCAUUGCCAUCACAGCAGGUUCGGCCUACAGGAUGUAUAACAAACCCAUCUGGGCCGCCGGCUUCCCAUCGAGGCUGCCAGUUGUCUUGAUGUUGGGAGCUUACCUGGCAGUGGUGAACCUGGCGCUGGGGUACUUGACCCUCUACUUGCCACAGGCACCCUUCGCUGUGUGGAAAGCUCUGGAUGAUGUUGGUCUCAGGUUGAUUGGCCUUGCCGUUAUCUUAAUCUCUGGCCCUGUUUUGUUGUCUGCCCAGGCGUGGCUGCACAUCAUCUGGGCUUGCCUUCUUGGCGUCCUCAUUGCUGCCAUCCUUGCCUUCUGUGUCUGUCUUGCUCGGACGUACAGCAAGUAG